rnacentral:rRNA from 1 species
AACAAACGCUGGCGGCGUGCCUAAUACAUGCAAGUCGAACGGGGAAAGCUUUCGGGUGAGUACUAGUGGCGCACGGGUGAGUAACGCGUGGAUAAUCUGCCUAUGAGUGGGGGAUAACUAGUUGAAAGACUAGCUAAUACCGCAUAAGACCACAUUAACUGAGGUUAAAGGGGUCAAAGGAGCAAUUCGCUUAUAGAUGAGUCCGCGUGAGAUUAGCUAGUUGGUGAGGUAACGGCUCACCAAGGCGACGAUCUCUGACUGGUCUGAGAGGAUGAUCAGUCACACUGGAACUGAGACACGGUCCAGACUCCUACGGGAGGCAGCAGUAGGGAAUAUUGCGCAAUGGGGGAAACCCUGACGCAGCGACGCCGCGUGAGUGAUGAAGGCCUUCGGGUCGUAAAGCUCUGUCGCAAGGGAAUAACAAAAUGAAUGUACUUUGCAAGAAAGGAUCGGCUAACUUCGUGCCAGCCGCCGCCGUAA